rnacentral:lncRNA from 1 species
CAAUGAGUCUUACGAAUUUUCGAAUUUACGUUACUACGAUGAAGAGGGACAAGAUAUCUAUGUUGGCCGAAAAGAAUAUACAAGAAGGAAGAGCGAGAAACUGGUCAUUACGAGCGAAUAGCUGCGUCGAAGUUGUGAGAACCGUGGUGCUCUGAGACGGUGUUAUUAAGCAAAAAUAUUACACCGUUUUCAGAGCAUUAACGAACAAGUUUUACAGGGGAACGUAAACCGUGGCCGGCUCAUAUAUUAAGCUGGUUUGAAUGUUCUAUGAACGAAUACGACAAAUCCGUGCUUCGGUUCUGACCUUCUUUGGCGCGACAGCGUGGGCGCAUUUACUUCAGACGGAAUUACAGUCUGCACUUACUCCAUCUUACCUCAGUCAUUUCAGUAUAAGUAACUGCAAUCGUGAACCGUGACCGCUGUAUCGUAUCAUCUGGUUUACGUAAUUAUACGUAUGAAUGCACCGUCUUGGAUCGAAAGGUAAUUCGCCCGGAAGUGAUUCUUACGUGAGCUUGGUGGUCCUUGGUGAUUACGGAAUUUAGAAUUCGUCGCAGCAUAGGAAGAAACUGGUUUUACCUGAAUCAUUUCACGGUUGGGAAAAUGGAUCGCACAUUAGCCAGGACACUGUUAGAAGUUGCCGAGUUAACUCGCAACGUUAUAUUAGAAAAAAAUAUCAGUUCAAGGAAAUUUUAGGAUUGAUUUUUAAGGAAUAUUGGAGAUAUAUAUUCUUAUUUUACUAUGCAUGUUCGCAUAUUAAAUGGUAUGUAUAAAUGGAUCGAGCUCAAGCAUUUUCCUGAUUCAAAACGUUGUAUCUUUGAAUGGAUAAAUGAAAUCUAAUAUACGGAUCAACAAUAAGUAUAAUAUUAUAGCAAGGAAACUUGGUUAAAAGCCAAGAAAUGUAAAUCACGUACAUAGUUUGAUCUAUACGGAAUCGUAAUGGAUAUGCAAAACUAGAGUAAAGUGCCAGAUACCGU